rnacentral:rRNA from 1 species
UACAGAGGGUGCGAGCGUUGUCCGGAAUCAUUGGGCGUAAAGGGCGCGUAGGUGGCGGGACAAGCGUGCGGUGAAAGCUCGGGGCUCAACCCCGCGUCGGCCGUGCGAACUGUUUUGCUUGAGCACUGUAGAGGCAGGCGGAAUUCCGGGUGUAGCGGUGGAAUGCGUAGAGAUCCGGAAGAACACCGGUGGCGAAGGCGGCCUGCUGGGCAGUAGCUGACACUGAGGCGCGACAGCGUGGGGAGCAAACAGGG